UCAUCAGAGGGGGCGUCACUCAAGGAACCCUCCUCAUCAUCAGAACUGAGAAUAAAAUCCUCUACAAUGUCUUCGUCAAACGCAGUUUCAUCUUGCUGAUCCUUCCUUCUCUUCUUUUUCUGUUGUUUCUCCUCUGUAGACUCCUCAUCCUUGGGAGUGCCUGCAGGUAGCCAAGAAGAACUGAAGACAGCAUCUCCUUUGCUAUCUUCAACAUCAUCAUCUUCAUCGCUUUCAGUUAUCUUACUCCCGAAGGCAGAUGAAUCCUGGCCAACGAGUAUACUGGAUUCCUUUAAUGAAUCAUUUCUCUGUUGUGCUCUCUGUCGGAG
rnacentral:misc_RNA from 1 species